rnacentral:rRNA from 1 species
AUACGUAGGGGGCGAGCGUUGUCCGGAAUUACUGGGCGUAAAGGGUGCGUAGGCGGAUAUGCAAGUCCGAUGUGAAAUGCUUCGGCUUAACCGGGGAAUUGCAUUGGAAACUGAAUAUCUAGAGUGCAGGAGAGGGAAGCGGAAUUCCUAGUGUAGCGGUGAAAUGCGUAGAUAUUAGGAGGAACACCAGUGGCGAAGGCGGCUUCCUGGACUGUAACUGACGCUGAGGCACGAAAGCUGGGGGAGCGAACAGGAUUAGAUACCCUGGUAGUCCCAGCCGUAAACGAUGGGUACUAGGUGUUGUCACUUCAUUGUGGCAGUGCCGGAGUUAACGCAAUAAGUACCCCGCCUGGGGAGUACGGCCGCAAGGCUGAA